rnacentral:rRNA from 1 species
GACGGAGGGUGCAAACGUUGUUCGGAAUCACUGGGCGUAAAGGGCGCGUAGGCGGACUCGUAAGUCGGGAGUGAAAACUCGGGGCUCAACCCCGAGCCUGCUUCUGAAACUGCGAGUCUUGAGGACCGGAGAGGAAAGUGGAAUUCCUAGUGUAGCGGUGGAAUGCGUAGAUAUUAGGAAGAACACCAGUGGCGAAGGCGACUUUCUGGACGGUUCCUGACGCUGAGGCGCGAAAGCUAGGGGAGCAAACAGG